GCAAAGCUGAAUUUUCAGCAUCAUUACUCCAGCCUUCAGUGUCACAUGUAACAUCCAAAAUCAUUUUAAUAUGCUGAUCUGAAACAUUGUUUAUAUUUUUGAUGAAUAGAAAGUGAAAACCUAAAUGUCUUUACUGUCUCUUUUGAAUAAUUUAAUAUGUCCUUACUGAAUAUAAGCAUUAUUUACUAACUCAAA